UAUUAAACUGGCGCACGGGUGAGUAACACGUGGGUUAUCUACCCUUACCACAGACAUAACCCAGGGAAACUUGGAUUACUAUCUGAUGAGGCCUCCGGUACAAAGCUACGGCGGGUAUGGAUGAGUCUGCGUAUGAUUAGCUAGCCGGUAAGGUAAUGGCUUACCAAGGCGACGAUGAUUAACUGGGCUGACAGGACGAUCAUGCACACUGAAACUGAUACACGGCCCUGACUCCUACGGGAGGCCCCAACGACGAAUUUUGGACAAUGGGGGAAACCCUGAUCCAGGGACGCCGCGCGGGGGAUGACUGGCCUAUGGCCUGAAAACCACUGUCAGCAUAGAAAAAAAUGCUCCUUUGGAGCCCGGGACUGUAUCUGCAGAGGAAGGACCGGCUAACUACGUGCCAGCAGCCGCGGUAAUACGUAGGGUCCAAGCGUUGUCCGGAAUUACUGGGUAUAAAGGGUGCGCAGGCGGACUCGUGCGUCGAAGGUUAAAGGCCAUGGAUCAACCAUGAAAAUGCCCUCCAUACGUCGAGCCUUGAACAUGAUAGAGGACUAUGCAAUUCCUGGAGUAGCAAUGAAGUGCGUAUAUAU
rnacentral:rRNA from 1 species